GGGUGCGAUUAUACCAGCACUAACGCAUCAGAUUCCAUCAGAACUCUGAAGUUAAGCGUACUUGGGCGAAAGUAGUACUGGGAUGGGUAACCUCCUGGGAAGCGGGGUAGUGAAAAAA
rnacentral:rRNA from 1 species